rnacentral:lncRNA from 1 species
CUUUACUACAAAGACUGUGCACAGAGGUUUCAGGCCUGGAUGAGCAGCCAAAGAAAAUAGGAAUACCAUUCCCCCAUAGCUUCAACUUGUAGUAUAGCGGUGUAUUCUGGGAGAAACAAGCCACCACCUUACCCACCUCCAGUGCAAUGCCAUAGAGCUUCAGCCCAGUACAGGGGAUAAUAUAGAAGGACAGGCAGCUCCACGGCUCUGCUCAGUGAGAUGUUCUCAUUAGGAACAGACUGUAGAGGAAUUCAUAGAGCAAUUAAGAUAAGGCUAACAGCUCCAUGAAACUAGUAGAAAAAAUGAAGUGGCAGACCAUGCAGAAGUGUAAGAGAGAGAAUCAGAGAAAAAGACCGUCAAAAUUGGCCCUGCUAAGAUCACAUUCAUUUCCAGGGGAUCUGGAAGGCUGUGUGCAGUACUAGGCUGCACCUCAAAACAACUAAGAGAGAGAAACUCUAGUGAGCACUUGAGAGCUACUAUCAGACAAAACAGAAUUUAAGACAAAAAUGUUACUACAGAGCAACAUUUUACAAUGAUAAAAGCAUACAUUUAUCAGGAAGAUAUAACAAUUAGAAACAUAUGUAUCUAAAAGCAAAA